UGGGGAAUUUUGGACAAUGGGCGCAAGCCUGAUCCAGCCAUGCCGCGUGCGGGAAGAAGGCCUUCGGGUUGUAAACCGCUUUUGGCAGGAACGAAACGGCGCGGGCUAAUACUUCGCGCUAAUGACGGUACCUGCAGAAUAAGCACCGGCUAACUACGUGCCAGCAGCCGCGGUAAUACGUAGGGUGCAAGCGUUAAUCGGAAUUACUGGGCGUAAAGCGUACGCAGGCGGCUUUGCAAGACAGGUGUGAAAUCCCCGGGCCUAACCUGGGAACUGCAUUUGUGACUGCAUGGCUAGAGUCUGUCAGAGGGGGGUGGAAUUCCACGUGUAGCAGUGAAAUGCGUAGAGAUGUGGAAGAACACCGAUGGCGAAGGCAGCCCCCUGGGAUGAGACUGACGCU
rnacentral:rRNA from 1 species